rnacentral:rRNA from 1 species
GACGAACGCUGGCGGCGUGCUUAACACAUGCAAGUCGAACGGAAAGGCCCUGCUUUUGUGGGGUGCUCGAGUGGCGAACGGGUGAGUAACACGUGAGUAACCUGCCCUUGACUUUGGGAUAACUUCAGGAAACUGGGGCUAAUACCGGAUAGGAGCUCCUGCUGCAUGGUGGGGGUUGGAAAGUUUCGGCGGUUGGGGAUGGACUCGCGGCUUAUCAGCUUGUUGGUGGGGGAGUGGCUUACCAAGGCUUUGACGGGUAGCCGGCCUGAGAGGGUGACCGGCCACAUUGGUACUGAGAUACGGCCCAGACUCCUACGGGAGGCAGCAGUGGGGAAUAUUGCACAAUGGGCGGAAGCCUGAUGCAGCAACGCCGCGUGCGGGAUGACGGCCUUCGGGUUGUAAACCGCUUUCGCCUGUGACGAAGCGUGAGUGACGGUAAUGGGUAAAGAAGCACCGGCUAACUACGUG